AUUGAACGCUGGCGGCAGGCCUAACACAUGCAAGUCGACCGAGUGGCGGACGGGUGAGUAAUGUCUGGGAAACUGCCUGAUGGAGGGGGAUACCUACUGGAAACGGUAGCUAAUACCGCAUACCAUCCGAUUUGCCCAGAUGGGAUUAGCUUGUUGUUGGGGUAACGGCGCACCAAGGCGACGAUCCCUAGCUGGUCUCAGAGGAUGACCAGCAACACGGGAACUGAGAAACGGUCCAGACUCCUAAGGGAGGAAGCAGUGGGGAAUAGUGCACAAUGGGCGCAAUCCUGAGGCAGCAAGGACGCGUGUAUGAAGAAGGCCGUAGGGUUGUAAAGUACUUGCAGCGGGGAGGCGUUACCCGCAGAAGAAGCACCGGCUAACUCCGUGCCAGCAGCCGCGGUAAUUC
rnacentral:rRNA from 1 species